CUAAUGAAUUUGUAAAAUUAUAUAACUCUUUUCAUCUGCCUCAACGCCGUCACCUCCUCCGUUUCAGCAGCUCAGUGUAGCCGGCAGCGUCCUCCACCGUUCACUGCUGCCACCGCCUCUUUCUUCCGCUCGUGCCGCCGCAGCCUCCCUCUUUUAGCGAGUUUGCGCUGAUUUUCUCUUGCUGUUACUGGUAUUCUCCCAAUCUCCACGGUCUUUCUUCUCAAUUGAAAAUCACAAAUUAGAACUGGUGUAUGAAUGGAGUUGUAUAAAUUCCUUGCGGCAAAUUGGGACAUUCUGAUUCGAGUUUUGUGUUUACUGGUGAUCUAGAAUAAGCUCCGACAUUUCAAGCGAACUUGAUCACCGCAAUAUGCAGUUAAGCUACAAUAUUUAUACGCUGCUUCAUUUCCAUGUUCCUGCUCACCUGCUACUUUUCUAACAUUUAUAUGAAGGCUUUUUUUCGAUUACUUAUCGCUCAUGGACUUUCUGUGGGUUAUGCAACUGGAAAUCAAGUGCGAAGAUGCAAGGUUUUCGCAGAAUUAAUCAAUUGGUGCGAAGGCAAAGUCCCGAUGUUCAUUUCAAAUUGAUUAGAGGUUAUCCUCUAAAUGGGGACGCUGGCUGUAGCUGCUCGGCGCCAAUGUCGAUGGAAUGUAGUUUUGGGAAUCCGUAUGGGUCUUUGAGUGGUUCCCUCUUGAGGUCUUUCUCGAGGUUGGGCAAUCAAUAUCCGGAAGCCUUUAGAAGUAUGGGCUCUCAAAUGGAAUUUGUGCCUUCUGGCAAUCAUAUAUCUUCAUCUUGUUCAGCAUUCCAAAGUCUUAGGCCACAUUCAUAUCAGUUGGCAGAAAUUGCAGCUCCUUUUUCUAGCAGGGGUAUUGCUAUGACAAGUUCAACGGAAUCGUCUCCACAAGGAUCUCCCACAGUUGAUUCUGAUAUAACUCGCAUCAAAUUUAAGUGGCUUGAUAAAACCUCAAAACACAUUAUGCAGAUUUUAGAUAAGGAAGCUUUUGGGGAGGUAAAAGCACAGAGAGAAAUUCCAGAUAUAAAGUCAGGCUAUAUUGUGCAGCUCAAAGUGGAAGUACCUGAGAACAAGCGACGUGUCUCAACGUUGAAAGGCAUUGUAAUAGCAAGACGAAAUGCAGGUCUCAACACAACUUUUAGAUUAAGAAGGCUAGUUGCUGGAGUUGGGAUUGAAUCCCUCUUCCCUCUAUACUCACCAAACAUAAAAGAAAUUAAGGUUUUGGACAAGAAGAAAGUGCGGAGGGCUAAGCUUUACUAUCUUAGGGACAAAAUGAACGCGCUUAAGAAGCACUAGCAAGCUUUCUAUUCGGUGGGAUCAAAGGUGUAUCUGUGUAACAAAGGUGCGCUGUAAUCAUUUUUUUAGCAAGAAAUCUCAGAGUUUUCAUGAUUAUCUUAUCCUUGUUUAUGCAUGGAGAACCAACCUGAAUCAUUUACUUGAGAAAAACAUGCCAUCAUUUUAGUGAUUGGUUACCUGAUUCCCCUUAUUUUUGGAAUAUCAAAGAGCUUGCUGAUAUUAGGAGCUGUUUGUAAUGUGUGUGCCUGAUGUUAUACAGUCCAUGUAUCAACAUUAUCAUCUUUUUGAAUGAAGGAUCGAUUCAUUAUUUAUCAUUAACA